GCAUUCUACUUUUUCUUUUUGACCAAUCAGAGCGGAGUAUCCCAGAGAGCUUUGGAAUAAUGCUAAUUAUCACUGACUUCUCUGAGGGCUGAGGCAACUCGGGUUCUUUCCCACCCUGCUAGCUUUCUCUUUCUCUUCUCUUCUUUUCUUUUUCUUUCCGUCUGACGCACUAUGAGUGAAGGAUAUCAGAUUCCCCUGAAAGCUCUCGGACAGACUGUUGGAGGAAAUGGGGAAACCCAGUGAAAACCCACGUGAGCAUGGGGAGAACAUGCAAACUCCACACAGAAAUGCUGACCGGCCUGGUGAGGAGCCAAACCAGCUGUGUUCUUGCUGUGAGGCAACAGUGCUAACCAGUGGGCCUCUGUGCCGCCCUACCAGGAGAAGAAGAGGAGUAGGGUUAGAAGGGGGGAUUCUUCAAGACAAAGAUGACUGGAGUGGAAAACUCUGCUUAUUUAUAGUGUGUCAGUAUUCAUCUGAUUGGUGCAAUAUACCGAGCUGAUGCGGUACCAUCCGUGUUCAAUCAUAAACAUGCAAUCCUCACGAAAUUAGUUUAUAAAUAAACCACACAAA